rnacentral:rRNA from 1 species
UACGAAGGGGGCUAGCGUUGCUCGGAAUGACUGGGCGUAAAGAGCUCGUAGGCGGUUCGGUAAGUCGGGUGUGAAAACUCUGGGCUCAACCCAGAGAGGCCACCCGAUACUGCUGUGACUAGAGUGCGGUAGGGGAGCGGGGAAUUCCUGGUGUAGCGGUGAAAUGCGCAGAUAUCAGGAGGAACACCAAUGGCGAAGGCAGCUCGCUGGGACGUGACUGACGCUGAGACGCGAAAGCGUGGGGAGCAAACAGG